rnacentral:rRNA from 1 species
GAUGAACGCUGGCGGCGUGCCUAACACAUGCAAGUCGAACGUGAGGGUGCAGCGAUGUGCCUGAAAGUGGCGAACGGGUGAGUAACGCGUAGGUGACCUGCCCUGAAGUGGGGGAUAACCACUGGAAACGGUGGCUAAUACCGCAUGAGCCUCACGGGAUGGGAAUUUUGUGAGGGAAAGCUUUAGUGCUUCAGGAGGGGCCUGCGACCGAUUAGCUAGUUGGUGAGGUAACGGCUCACCAAGGCGAUGAUCGGUAGCUGGUCUGAGAGGAUGGUCAGCCACACGGGAACUGAGACACGGUACCGACUCCUACGGGGGGCAGCAGUGAGGAAUAUUGCACAAUGGGGGCAACCCUGAUGCAGCAACGCCGCGUGGAGGAUGAAGGUCUUUGGAUUGUAAAGCUCUUUUGUCCGGGAAGAAACGGUUUCACCUAAUACGUGAGACUACUGACGGUACCGGAAGAAUAAGGACCGGCUAA